CCUACGGGUGGCAGCAGUGAGGAAUAUUGGUCAAUGGGCGCGAGCCUGAACCAGCCAAGUAGCGUGAAGGAUGACUGCCCUACGGGUUGUAACCUUCUUUUAUAAAGGAGUUAAUUAAGGCACGUGUGCCUUUAUGUCUGGACUUUAUGAAUAAAGAUCGGCCAACUCCGUGCCAGCAGCCGCGGUAAUACGGAGGAUCCGAGCGUUAUCCGGAUUUAUUGGGUUUAAAGGGAGCGUAGAUGGGUUGUUAAGUCAGUUGUGAAAGUUUGCGGCUCAACCGUAAAAUUGCAAUUGAUACUGGCAGUCUUGAGUACAGGUGAGGUAGGCGGAAUUCGUGGUGUAGCGGUGAAAUGCUUAGAUAUCACGAAGAACUCUGAUUGCGAAGGCAGCUUACUAGACUGCCACUGACAUUGAUGCACGAAAGUGUGGGUAUCAAACAGGAUUAGAUACCCUUGUAGUC
rnacentral:rRNA from 1 species